AGUGAACGCUGGCGGUAGGCCUAACACAUGCAAGUCGAACGGCAGCACAGUAAGAGCUUGCUCUUACGGGUGGCGAGUGGCGGACGGGUGAGGAAUACAUCGGAAUCUACUUUUUCGUGGGGGAUAACGUAGGGAAACUUACGCUAAUACCGCAUACGACCUACGGGUGAAAGCAGGGGAUCUUCGGACCUUGCGCGAUUGAAUGAGCCGCUGUCGGAUUAGCUAGUUGGCGGGGUAAAGGCCCACCAAGGCGACGAUCCGUAGCUGGUCUGAGCGGAUGAUCAGCCACACGGGAACGGAGACACGGUCCAGACUCCUACGGGAGGCAGCAGUGGGGAAUAUUGGACAAUGGGCGCAAGCCUGAUCCAGCCAUACCGCGUGGGUGAAGAAGGCCUUCGGGUUGUAAAGCCCUUUUGUUGGGAAAGAAAAGCAGCAGGUUAAUACCCCGCUGUUCUGACGGUACCCAAAGAAUAAGCACCGGCUAACUUCGUG
rnacentral:rRNA from 1 species